GAUGCACUAAAAAAAGCUGCUGUCCAUUUUCGUUAUGAAUGUUUGUUUUGUUUUUUAAGAACUUGCGAAGUGUGGGUUUAAAUUUAGCUAGUAAAUAUAAUUGAAUACAUUUUAAGAUUAAGAACUAGAGUUGACGACGGUGUCGUUUUCAGUAUGUUACCGAAAGGGUUCUGUGUCAAGUCCAACACAGUGAUUAAACGCUCCGAUAGGUGAGGAGUCACUCGUUCCACAUUAAACUCAACGAUUUACAAUGGAGUUGAGCGACGACUAGUGGGCCGACUGGAGCUCCGACGUUUUAAUGAAAAAACGACACAUUUCAGCACCCAAAGAAUAGGCAGCAAUUACACACGGUAUUUUCUAUUCGCCACUCAACUCAACAGGCAUCCAGCCUCUUUGGUAGUUAGAAAGGAGGAAGCUGAAAGCUGACAUAUCCAUAGCCUUUCCCUCUCUGUCUACGGAGAAACUGUCCGAGUUGGUCCCAAACAAAUAGGAGCUCAAUGUAGUGAAGAUCUAUGCCCACAAGGGAGAUGUAGUCACCCUCUCCGUGCUUCAUAAGAACCCAGUGUUCUUUGAGCUGGAGAAACGCGUCUAUCCCACAGUGUAUAAGCUUUGGCGUUAUCCCCAUGUCUUGCCAGCAUUCACAACAUGGCCUCCAGUGUUACAUAAGCUGGCUGCAGGGGCAGAUCUCAUGCUGCCUGGAGUGGUGGUGCCUCCAAGUGGUCUCCCAGAGGUGAAGAAGGGGGACUUCUGUGCUGUUAAAGUUGUUAGCAACAGGAAGGUUGAUUGACUGAAUCCAUUUGCAGUCAUGAUUAGCUGUUACCGCUGUCUAUAAUGAACACAUUGACAUACUGUAAACACAUUGACAAUGGCAGGCUUCAUAUUCUUGCUCACAACGUUGUGGUUGUUUGUUGCCAGGGCUCCCGUGGCAGUGGGCACUGGUGCACUGCCACCAUGUCCGAUGCAGGGCCUGGGCAUGAAGGGCAGAGGAGUGUCAAUAUUCCACACCUACAUGGACAGCCUGUGGUGAACACAGAUGAUCCAGUCAAACUCCACACACUGCAGCAUGGUUAGUGUCAAUAAGUAUAACCCGCACACAGCAUUCCCAAUCUACUAUCAUUAUGGAAUUUGGAUGUGUCCACAUUCCUGAUGUGGACACUGAGGGUGUCGAGGCAAUGUAUGGAGAGGAAGAAGAGGAUGAUGAACAGGCCACUGACGGGGGUGAAGAGGAACCGUGUCCCAACCCAGAGGACCCGAGAAGCCCACACCUGCCAGCAAUUGCUAAUAACCCAUCCGCAACCGCCCGACUAUAUGUGAAAAUCUGUACCCCGACCAUAACCUGCUAAUAUAGAAAAUGUGCUGUAGGCUACAGUCAGAGACGACAUAACCAUUUUUUGACGGGGUGCAGGAUAUAUUUUUUUUGCCCGAUUUAGAUAUGUUUCUGCUUAUAGUUUCAGACAUUUUGGUAUGCUAUUUGUUAGUCAACUUGUCUAUAAUUAGAUACAUGCAGCUUCUCUUCUGUCAUUAUAUGUUGCCCUAGAAGAUUAAAUAAACCCAAUUCUGCUUGGAUGCA